AUUGAACGCUGGCGGCAGGCCUAACACAUGCAAGUCGAGCGGAUGAAGGGAGCUUGCUCCUGGAUUCAGCGGCGGACGGGUGUGUAAUGCCUAGGAAUCUGCCUGGUAGUGGGGUAUAACGUCCGGAAACGGGCGCUAAUACCGCAUACGUCCUGAGGGAGAUAGUGGGGGAUCUUCGGACCUCACGCUCUCAGAUGAGCCUAGGUCGGAUUAGCUAGUUGGUGGGGUUAAGGCCUACCAAGGCGACGAUCCGUAACUGGUCUGAGAGGAUGAUCAGUCACACUGGAACUGAGACACGGUCCAGACUCCUACGGGAGGCAGCAGUGGGGAAUAUUGGACAAUGGGCGAAAGCAUGAUCCAGCCAUGCCGCGUGUGUGAAGAAGGUCUUCGGAUUGUAAAGCCCUUUAAGUUGGGAGGAAGGGCAGUAAGUUAAUACCUUGCUGUUUUGACGUUACCAACAGAAUAAGCACCGGCUAACUUCGUG
rnacentral:rRNA from 1 species